rnacentral:lncRNA from 1 species
AUUAUCAUAUGUAAUUAAGAUAGUUUUAAUAUUUGGUUCAUUAAGAAAUAAUGUUAUAACUCUAGGAUGUCCAAUGUCGUCAAAGUCAGUCAUCAUAUGCAUCUCCAUAAUGUGUAGCAUUUUAUUGCUAUCUUGGUUGUAUUCUUCAUUUUAUCUAGUCAAAAAUUGUAAAUUGUAUGCAUCUAAACUAAGUUUUACGCUAUUUUAGGAUCAACUUAUUUCUUAAUGAGUGAUUCUUAAGAAGACAAGGUUGCCCGAGAAGUACAGAAGAAGAUUCAUGCAUCGGUUAUCAAAAUUUAGGAUACAAUAUCUACAUAUCUUCAUGAUUUUGAUUUCAAGCGCAGUCUUUUGUCUAUCGUCACUAAUUGUGAAAAACAAAAGAAGAAAUAUCUGUUGAUUUUGAUUUCAAGUGUAGCCUUCUGUCUAUUAUCACUAAUUGUGAAAAACAUUUUGAGACGCUUAUUCCUCUCCUUAUAAAUCGGGAUCCUCUUGAAGUCAUUUUUUACUAUAACACUUAUGAAUACAAAUUGAGAAAGAACUAUAUAUUAUAAAUGAUAGUAACUUACUAAUUACUAUUUUUACUUUACUAUGUUAUGUUAUGAAUAGUUUUAUAAUGUAAUUGUUAAUAUUCCGGUAAGUGUACCGAAUCGUAUCAAGUAAUAAUAGACAGUAAAUCUAAAUAUCGUUUUUCAAGGGACUCUUAGGCUUAAUUGUUUAUGUGAAUUGAUUUCUUAUGACUUCAUAAAGAUUAAAUUUAAGAUUUGUAAUGCAAAUACUAAAAUAAACGUGCAAAUGCAAAGGCUUGGUUAAUUGACAGAUAAAGAUAUGAAUUAAUGGUGUUGUUGGGGUUUACGGUUUCAUUCUAAUUCACUCUCCUAUAUCUACUAUUCUUAUUAAAUUCAACUUUGUUAUCAAUGUUCAUGCAACUUUCUAAAUUAUUCUAAACCCGAUGUCUCGACGAAGAGAGUCUACUCCCAAUUACUAGUUUACUAUGUCUAGUCUCCCUAGUAAUUAGUCAUGCAUUUCAGUGUACAUAAGCUUAAAGCAAUUGACCGCCAUAUUCCUAUGUUAGGUAAUAUUUCAUAAUCAAGAGAAUUCCCC